rnacentral:rRNA from 1 species
GUCGACGCUUUUUCUUUCACCGGAGCUUGCUCCACCGAAAGAAAAAGAGUCGGCGAAUCGGGUGAGUAACACGUGGGUAACCUGCCCAUCAGAAGGGGAUAACACUUGGAAACAGGUGCUAAUACCGUAUAACACUAUUUUCCGCAUGGAAGAAAGUUGAAAGGCGCUUUUGCGUCACUGAUGGAUGGACCCGCGGUGCAUUAGCUAGUUGGUGAGGUAACGGCUCACCAAGGCAACGAUGCAUAGCCGACCUGAGAGGGUGAUCGGCCACACUGGGACUGAGACACGGCCCAGACUCCUACGGGAGGCAGCAGUAGGGAAUCUUCGGCAAUGGACGAAAGUCUGACCGAGCAACGCCGCGUGAGUGAAGAAGGUUUUCGGAUCGUAAAACUCUGUUGUUAGAGAAGAACAAGGAUGAGAGUAAAACGUUCAUCCCUUGACGGUAUCUAACCAGAAAGCCACGGCUAACUACGUGCCAGCAGCCGCGGUAAUACGUAGGUGGCAAGCGUUGUCCGGAUUUAUUGGGCGUAAAGCGAGCGCAGGCGGUUUCUUAAGUCUGAUGUGAAAGCCCCCGGCUCAACCGGGGAGGGUCAUUGGAAACUGGGAGACUUGAGUGCAGAAGAGGAGAGUGGAAUUCCAUGUGUAGCGGUGA